AAUAUAAUAGCAAAACGAUAACAGGAUGAACAACAAUAAACGAAAUCAAGAACAAAUACUGAAUACUGAGUAGAUAAAGAGAAAUCCGGAUUACAAAAGGUCUAGAACACAGUGUCUGCGGAAUAAAACUAGAUAAAAACCUCUUCUCGAAAAUGUAAAGUACAUGCUUAUUAUAGCAAAAUAUUCUGAAACUCUAAUACUCAAAAUGACGCAGUAUUGGGACGGAUUAAGAACUGUACUCGACCCUGAUGGUCGAGUGAGAGGUCGAGUGAUAUGCUGGAGUCUUCUAUUCUUCCUUGUGCUCGAGUGUCUAGUUGAGUGCAGAAAUGAAGAAGACUCUGAAGCUCGCCAUAGAGUAUGUAGUCGAGUGGUGGUGGUGAAGACACUCGACCUGGGGGUCGAGUGAUGUGAUCGAGUGACUGGUCAGGUUGUGGAGGUGAAUACACUCGACCAGGUGGUCGAGUGAGGUGAUCAAGUAUCUCUCGUGGUGGUACUCGGCCAGGGGGUCGAGUGAUGAGAUGAAAUUGUGAAGUCCCCUACUCAGCCAGGGGGUCGAGUGGUCUGUUGAGGUCUUGAAGCUUCUACUCGACCUCGGGGUCUAGUGGUUUGACAUGAUCAGGUCCGCUUCUUCCAGUUAGCUCGUCAACAGCUCCAAAUCACCUGAAAUCAACACAAAUAUGCAACAUGCAUGCAAACCUAUCCUAAACAUGCAAAGUGAUGACAAAUGAUGAGAAAUGGUAUUAUACAGUGAUGAUAUGGUGCUUAAGUGAUGACAAAUGGAUGCUCAAAACAUGCAAAAUACACACUUAUUAACUCCCUAAU
rnacentral:sRNA from 1 species